GUAAAUUCCAUCUAAAGCUAAAUACUGGCGAGAGACCGAUAGCGAACAAGUACCGUGAGGGAAAGAUGAAAAGCACUUUGGAAAGAGAGUCAAACAGUACGUGAAAUUGUUGAAAGGGAAACGAUUGAAGUCAGUCGUGCCUGCCUAGA
rnacentral:rRNA from 1 species